rnacentral:rRNA from 1 species
UACGUAGGGUCCGAGCGUUAAUCGGAAUUACUGGGCGUAAAGCGUGCGCAGGCGGUUUUGUAAGCCAGAUGUGAAAUCCCCGGGCUUAACCUGGGAACUGCAUUUGGGACUGCAAGGCUUGAGUACGGCAGAGGGGGGUAGAAUUCCACGUGUAGCAGUGAAAUGCGUAGAGAUGUGGAGGAACACCGAUGGCGAAGGCAGCCCCCUGGGUCAAGAUUGACGCUCAUGCACGAAAGCGUGGGGAGCAAACAGG